GUUGGCAAUGGUUUAGCCUAUAGGGAGAGGUUUUGUGUUUCUUUGUUACCAUGACUGCAGUUGGACGUCUCAGUUUCCUCGCUUUGCUGUGUUGCGAUGCUUCCAGCCCGUCUGUCUCUCUUGCGGUGGCGAGAGCCGUGGGCCUUGUGGUGACGGUGGCUCUGUCUGGGCAUCCGAACCCCCACAAACAGAGUCCUGUGACCUGAAAGAAGACAGAGGAGAGAAACGUGUCUCACCCCACUGAUGAUACCAAUAUUGUUUAACAUGGAGUUUAAGUGGAUAUUCAGCACUGAGCUCGUCCCUCCCUGGUCCACAACCACCUCCUCAUCCGGCCUCUAAUGGACAGACAGAGACACACAAAAAAUGUG